rnacentral:tRNA from 1 species
UACCCCUUUAGUAUAAAAAGUACAAUUGACUUCCAAUCAAUUAGCUUCGGAACAUCCCGAAAAGGAGUAA